GUAGUCUCGCACAGAUGCAUAUCAAUAAGCGGAGGAAAAGAAACUAACAAGGAUUCCCCUAGUAACGGCGAGUGAAGCGGGAAGAGCUCAAAUUUGAAAUCUUAAAGGGUUUCCCUUUACGAAUUGUAGUUUAAAGAAGUGUUUUCUGUUGAGGUUUUGGUAAAAGUUCUUUGGAAUAGGACAUCAUAGAGGGUGAGAAUCCCGUAUUUGACCUUUACUUUCAACUUUGUGAUACACUUUCAAAGAGUCGGAUUGUUUGGGAAUGCAGUCCAAAAUGGGUGGUAAAUUUCAUCUAAAGCUAAAUAUUGGCGAGAGACCGAUAGCGAACAAGUACCGUGAGGGAGAAGAUGAAAAGAACUUUGAAAAGAGAGUUAAACAGUACGUGAAACUUGUCAAAAGGGAAGCGUUUGACACCAGUGUUGUUUUUCUGAAAAUCAAUUAAAGAACUGUUUAUGCUAAGUUGUUUAGACUUUAUCAGCUAACUGUUUAGUUUUGAGCUUUUCUUUAAUGCACUUUUCAGUUAACAAGUCAACAUCAAUUUCUUUUGCUGUAAAAAAGCUUGAGGAAGGUGGCUUGAGAUUCGUCUUAAGUGUUUAUAGCCUCUUGCCUAUGCAGUCGGAGAGAUUGAGGUCUGCAGCGUAGAUCCUUCGGGGCUAAAUGCAUUUGUGCUAAGUUAUAGCAUUUUAUAGACAACUUGUUGACUAUGAUUUGUCUUGUAGCUUACUCGCUUAUGUUAUUUUACCUACGCUUAGGAUGUUGAUCUGUAGUGCGUGCGC
rnacentral:rRNA from 1 species